rnacentral:rRNA from 1 species
UACGUAGGGAGCAAGCGUUGUCCGGAAUCAUUGGGCGUAAAGCGCGCGUAGGUGGCUUCGUAAGUCCGUUGUGAAAGUCAAAGGCUCAACCUUUGAAAGCCGAUGGAUACUGCGGAGCUAGAGUACGGAAGAGGCGAGUGGAAUUCCUGGUGUAGCGGUGGAAUGCGCAGAUAUCAAGAGGAACACCUGCGGCGAAGGCGGGUUGCUGGGCCGACACUGACGCUGAGGCGCGAAAGCCAGGGGAGCGAACGGG